rnacentral:rRNA from 1 species
UAGGGAAUAUUGCUUAAUGGGCGAAAGCCUGAAGCAGCAACGCCGCGUGUGUGAAGAAGGCCUUCGGGUUGUAAAACACUUUUUGAGGGAAUGAGGAAGGACAGUACCCUCAGAAUAAGCCUCGGCUAACUACGUGCCAGCAGCCGCGGUAAAACGUAGGAGGCGAGCGUUAUCCGGAUUUACUAGGCGUAAAGCGCGUGCAGGCGGCACGGCAAGUUGGAUGUGAAAGCUCCCGGCUUAACUGGGAGAGGUCGUUCAAAACUGCCGAGCUAGAGUGCGGGAGAGGGAGGUGGAAUUCCGGGUGUAGUGGUGACAUGCGUAGAUAUCCGGAGGAACACCAGUGGCGAAAGCGGCCUCCUGGUCCGCAACUGACGCUCAGACGCGAAAGCUAGGGUAGCAAACGG